rnacentral:lncRNA from 1 species
GGCGGCGGGGUGUCGGGAGGGCUGCGCUCGAGGGGUCGGGCACCCCCAGGCGGAGCAAGCGGGAGUAGAUGCGGAGUCCUUCCUCACCGCGCGCUCUGGAACAUCUGGGGGAACUAGGAUGAGUGCAUAGGAUCUAAGAUAAGUCGUUUCUAGCCGCCCGGGCUCUCGGAGUGCCAGGCACUCAACCGGCGCUCGAUAAAUAUUUGUUGAAUGAAUGAGCAGCUGACUACUGCGUUCACCCCCUAGAGCUUUCGUUGUCACCACAAGAGCCGGAAGCCGGACUCCAAGGCAAACGUGAUCUCCUGUGGCCAUGGUUCAUAGCCUUCAAAGCAGGAACAUUUGUCUUCUGGUAAAUAGAGAGCUAAUGCGAAGGAGCCGGGCUCCUCAGAAGUAUCAAGUAGUUUCUUAGGGGAGCCCCUGAGCGAGAAUUAUGUAGCGAGUUCUGACUUGGAAAUCUUAUGUCCCCGAAAAACACCUGGGCUCCUCCCCAGCUGAAGAGACUCAGACCCAGCUGAAGAAAUUUAGACCUACAUGGUCCAGGGGAAAGCCCGCCCCAAAGACCUCCCUUUUCCAGCAGCCCAGAGACUGUUCCUGCGGGGAAGGGGACGAGCACAUCCGAAUCUUUCCUGUUCACUAGCUGCAUUGUUCAAAGAGUCAAACGCAGGGACUGCACAUUUGAACAGCCCUGAGCUGUUGGCGUCCUCUGAAACUCUCCUCCUGGAACUCACUUCCAUCUGGAGAGACCUCAAGAAUGAAGAUUGGAUCCGAGUCCCAGGUCUGACUUCAUACCUUCCUCAGCAAUUCUCCAUGUGGACCUCAUUCAACAUAACUGGAUUUUUACCAAAAUGACUUCAGCUGCCUCACCCCCACCCCCCAACACACACUCCCUCCACCCUGCCUCCAUCCCCACCCCACUACCUCGAAUUGAAGGCUUUUUGCAAAACUUGAGGUUUGAAUUUGGACACUGGCUAUUUCAAGUGUGACAAUAAUUGCAAUAAGAGGGUUGGAGGAAAAUGGAAAAUUUUAAUUACAGCUUUCAGGAUGUUUAUUCUUUUUCCUCCGAAGACUGAAGUCCACCCACUUUGUUAUAUCAGAUGGUUAAAUCCCAAUUUGAAAGUCCAUUUAAAUCAUAAAAGCAGAGCUAUUCAAAGUCUUUUAUUAAAAUGUGGCUGAAAAUUAAAAAGUCAACUAGAUGGGUAAGUGGAAUAACAGCAAGAUUCCCAGAAAUACCCUUUUCUUUUUCCUCUGAUAUUUUUUCAGAGGAAACAUCAAGCAUAUUCCACAACCAGGGAUAUUCGGACUCCAAAACCCACCCAUAUACAAACACAAAUAAGCACUCACAAGCACUAGCUUGCUCUGUUGGAAAGUGCCUUGGAGAAAGAAAUGAGGAUAAAUGAAUUUGGAGGCUAGUUACGAUGUCAGUGAGAAUAGAGAGAUGUGAAGACGGCUGGCAAGCGCUUUACUUCCUCCACUGAUUACCAGGUUUAUUUUCCCAAAUCUGGCGGACUAAAUUGAAUCUUUCAAAGAAGCUAAGGGUUCAGUUAAAGAAAAAAUUCUUUUCUAGGUAGAGGAAACUCAUUCUUUGAUCCCGCAUACGAGUGGAGUUUCUUGUUGUUUAGUCACUAAGUCAUGUCCUACNNNNNNNNNNNNNNNNNNNNNNNNNNNNNNNNNNNNNNNNNCCAUGAGAUUUCCCAGGCAAGAAUACUAGAGUGGGUUGCCAUUUCCUUCUGCAGAGGAUCUUCCUGACCCAGAGACUGAACCCACGUCUCCUGCAUUGGCAGGUGUAUUCUUUAUCACUGAGCCACCUAGGAAGCCAGAGUGGAGUUACUAGAACUACAAAAAAAAGGGGAGAAGGGAUAUAUUUGACUCUAAACACUGCUUUUCAGUCUUCUUAGGGCAAAUGCUUCAGGACAGGGUGAUACGUUGUAAUUUGAGACCCCUGAGCUAAACUGGACAAAGGAAUGGAUAUCUACAGCCCUAGAAACACCUUUUUNNNNNNNNNNNNNNNNNNNNNNNNNNNNNNNNNNNNNNNNNNNNNNNNNNNNNNNNNNNNNNNNNNNNNNNNNNNNNNNNNNNNNNNNNNNNNNNNNNNGCUAAACUGGACAAAGGAAUGGAUAUCUACAGCCCUAGAAACACCUUUUUUCAUAUGACCUGAAGAUUCCCAUCACUGUCUACUCUCUGUCCUCAAAUACCCUGGCCUAAGCAUCUCUGGGUCCGUCCUUGGCUCUGCUCUGUGACUUUGGAGGUCCGGUUUCUCUGAUGAAUGGGGAGAUGAUGAUCAGGGCUCUAAAGCUGUUCAUAUCUUCAGCCCCAUCACUGAGAGAUUGAUGCUUGGUGAACAGUUUCAUAACAAGAAGCUUUUAGCUUUGUUUCUAGAAUACUCUAUGCUCCAAAUAUCCUUUAGGAGAAGUUGAUGAUGUGAGCAAUUUGAAGGCAUUUGUUGUUGUUCAGUCAUGUCCGACUCUUUGUGACCACAUGGACUGCAGCACACCAGGUCUCCCCAUCCCUCACUAUCUCCCGGAGUUUGCCCAAUUUCAUGUCCAUUGAGUCAGUGAUGCUAUCCAACCAUCUCAUCCUCUGGGAACAGUCGACUCAUUGGAAAAGGCCCUGAUGCUGGGAAAGAUUGAAGGCAAAAGGGGAAGGAGGCAGCAGAGGAUGAGAUAGUUGAAGUCAUUGUGCUUAGUCGCUUAGCUGCAUCCAGCUCUUUGUGACCUCAUGGACUGUAGCCUGCCAGGCUACUCUGUCCAUGGGAUUUCUCAAGCACGAAUACUGGAGUGGGUCACCAUGCCCUCCUCCAGGAGAUCUUUCCCAACCCAGGGAUCAAACCCAGGUCUCCAGCACUGUAGGAGGAUUCUU